AGGAUAGUGAAAAGAAAAUGACCCUCACAAUAUCUGAAACUAAAUUGACCUUAACCACUUUUUCACUUGUGAAGCAGAUUAAUUACUUAAAAGAAUUUUUAGGUGAUGGCUUUGUGGAUCACAUGAGGGAAAACAAAUACCUCCAUGAUAUAUUUAAAUUUGUUCCACAAACAAUUUCUACUGACGAGGAAGAAGAUUUGCAUGGACCUGAAUUUGAAGGGG